rnacentral:rRNA from 1 species
AUUGAACGCUGGCGGCAGGCCUAACACAUGCAAGUCGAACGAGUGGCGGACGGGUGAGUAAUGUCUGGGAAACUGCCUGAUGGAGGGGGAUAACUACUGGAAACGGUAGCUACUACCGCAUACCAUCAGAUGUGCACAGAUGGGAUUAGCGUGUUGGUGGGGUAACGGCUCACCAAGGCGACGAGCCCUAGCUGGUCUGAGAGGAUGACGAUCAAGGUUGGAACGUAGACACGGUCCAGACUCCUACGUGAGGCAGCAGGGGGGAAUAUUGAAAGAUGCGGGUCAGACUGAUACAGACAUGCAGCGUGUAUGAAGAAGGCCUUCGGGUUUUAAAGUUCUUUCAGCAGUGAGUCGUUACCCGUAGAAGAAGGACAGGCUAACUCCGUGCCAGCAGCCGCGGUAAUAG